rnacentral:sRNA from 1 species
AAGUCGUAACAAGGUCUCCGUAGGUGAACCUGCGGAGGGAUCAUUACAAGAACGCCCGGGCUUCGGCCUGGUUAUUCAUAACCCUUUGUUGUCCGACUCUGUUGCCUCCGGGGCGACCCUGCCUUCGGGCGGGGGCUCCGGGUGGACACUUCAAACUCUUGCGUAACUUUGCAGUCUGAGUAAACUUAAUCAAUAAAUUAAAACUUUUAACAACGGAUCUCUUGGUUCUGGCAUCGAUGAAGAACGCAGCGAAAUGCGAUAAGUAAUGUGAAUUGCAGAAUUCAGUGAAUCAUCGAAUCUUUGAACGCACAUUGCGCCCCCUGGUAUUCCGGGGGGCAUGCCUGUUCGAGCGUCAUUUCACCACUCAAGCCUCGCUUGGUAUUGGGCAACGCGGUCCGCCGCGUGCCUCAAAUCGUCCGGCUGGGUCUUCUGUCCCCUAAGCGUUGUGGAAACUAUUCGCUAAAGGGUGUUCGGGAGGCUACGCCGUAAAACAACCCCAUUUCUAAGGUUGACCUCGGAUCAGGUAGGGAUACCCGCUGAACUUAAGCAUAUCAAUAAGCGGAGGAAAAGAAACCAACAGGGAUUGCUCUAGUAACGGCGAGUGAAGCAGCAAUAGCUCAAAUUUGAAAUCUGGCGUCUUCGACGUCCGAGUUGUAAUUUGUAGAGGAUGCUUCUGAGUGGCCACCGACCUAAGUUCCUUGGAACAGGACGUCAUAGAGGGUGAGAAUCCCGUAUGCGGUCGGAAAGGCGCUCUAUACGUAGCUCCUUCGAC